AUUGAACGCUGGCGGCAUGCCUUACACAUGCAAGUCGAACGGCAGCACGGGGGCAACCCUGGUGGCGAGUGGCGAACGGGUGAGUAACAUAUCGGAACAUACCCUAGAGUGGGGAUAACGUAGCGAAAGUUACGCUAAUACCGCAUACGAUCUAAGGAUGAAAGUGGGGGAUCUUCGGACCUCAUGCUCAUGGAGUGGCCGAUAUCUGAUUAGCUAGUUGGUGAGGUAAAGGCUCACCAAGGCGACGAUCAGUAGCUGGUUUUGAGAGAACGACCAGCCACACUGGAACUGAGGCACGGUCCAGACUCCUACGGGAGGCAGCAGUGGGGAAUUUUGGACAAUGGGGGCAACCCUGAUCCAGCAAUGCCGCGUGAGUGAAGAAGGCCUUC
rnacentral:rRNA from 1 species